rnacentral:rRNA from 1 species
UUCGGGGAGCAGAGUGACAGGUGGUGCAUGGUUGUCGUCAGCUCCGUGUCGUGAGAUGUUGGGUUAAGUCCCGCAACGAGCGCAACCNUUGAUCUUAGUUGCCAUCAUUAAGUUGGGCACUCUAAGGUGACUGCCGGUGACAAACCGGAGGAAGGUGGGGAUGACGUCAAAUCAUCAUGCCCCUUAUGACCUGGGCUACACACGUGCUACAAUGGACGGUACAAAGAGCUGCAAGACCGCGAGGUGGAGCUAAUCUCAUAAAACCGUUCUCAGUUCGGAUUGUAGGCUGCAACUCGCCUACAUGAAGCUGGAAUCGCUAGUAAUCGCGGAUCAGCAUGCCGCGGUGAAUACGUUNCCCGGGCNUUGUACACACCGCCCGUCACACCACGAGAGUUUGUAACACCCGAAGU